CCGAAGCAGCACUGCUUCCCCAAUGCCGUGAUGGAGAUAACAAUGCAAACAAAGAUGGUCUGGCGUCGCUGAACCACAACCUGAUGCGAGGCGCUUUUGGCACCUGGGUUGCUUGAAGCAAGCGGGGCCUAAACGAGGUAAAAGAAAGUUUGAGGAACCUUCGCUACCCCGACCAGUCAUAACCCCCUAAUAUGAUUUCCGGGAUCUUGAGGCUACGAUCCGCCCCCACCAAACUGCUAGCAGGAGGUCAAAACACCUACGAUGUGAACAUCUUGGCAACCCCAACGACGACAAUGGGAUGGAAUUUUGCAUGCACAAGCAAGAAAAUGCUAUUAAUCU
rnacentral:sRNA from 1 species